rnacentral:rRNA from 1 species
CGUAGGGACCGAGCGUUGUCCGGAUUCAUUGGGCGUAAAGAGCUCGUAGGCGGCCACUCAAGUCGAAUGUGAAACCUCGAGGCUUAACCUCGAGCCUGCAUUCGAUACUGGGCGGCUAGAGUCUGGUAGGGGGAUCUGGAAUUCCUGGUGUAGCGGUGGAAUGCGCAGAUAUCAGGAGGAACACCGGUGGCGAAGGCGGGAUCCUGGGCCAGUACUGACGCUGAGGAACGAAAGCGUGGGGAGCAAACAGGAUUAGAUACCCUGGUAGUCCACGCCGUAAACGAUGGGCGCUAGGUGUGGGAGGUCAUCGACUCCUUCCGUGCCGCAGCUAACGCAUUAAGCGCCCCGCCUGGGGAGUACGGCCGCAAGGCUA